GUGGGGAAUUUUGGACAAUGGGCGCAAGCCUGAUCCAGCCAUGCCGCGUGUCUGAAGAAGGCCUUCGGGUUGUAAAGGACUUUUGUCAGGGAAGAAAAGGCUGUUGCUAAUAUCGACAGCUGAUGACGGUACCUGAAGAAUAAGCACCGGCUAACUACGUACCAGCAGCCGCGGUAAUACGUAGGGUGCGAGCGUUAAUCGGAAUUACUGGGCGUAAAGCGAGCGCAGACGGUUACUUAAGCAGGAUGUGAAAUCCCCGGGCUCAACCUGGGAACUGCGUUCUGAACUGGGUGACUAGAGUGUGUCAGAGGGAGGUAGAAUUCCACGUGUAGCAGUGAAAUGCGUAGAGAUGUGGAGGAAUACCGACGGCGAAGGCAGCCUCCUGGGAUAACACUGACGUUCAUGCUCGAAAGCGUGGGUAGCAAACAGGAUUAGAUACCCUGGUAGUCCACGCCCUAAACGAUGUCAAUUAGCUGUUGGGCAACUUGAUUGCUUAGUAGCGUAGCUACGCGUGAAAUUGACCGCCUGGGGAGUACGGUCGCAAGAUUA
rnacentral:rRNA from 1 species